GACGAACGCUGGCGGCGUGCUUAACACAUGCAAGUCGAACGGAAAGGCCCUGCUUGCAGGGUACUCGAGUGGCGAACGGGUGAGUAACACGUGGGUGAUCUGCCCUGCACUUCGGGAUAAGCCUGGGAAACUGGGUCUAAUACCGGAUAGGAGCCAUUUUGAGUGUGAUGGUUGGAGAGUUUUUUCGGUGUAGGAUGAGCUCGCGGCCUAUCAGCUUGGUGGUGGGGUAAUGGCCUACCAAGGCGGCGACGGGUAGCCGGCCUGAGAGGGUGGACGGCCACAUUGGGACUGAGAUACGGCCCAGACUCCUACGGGAGGCAGCAGUGGGGAAUAUUGCACAAUGGGCGCAAGCCUGAUGCAGCGACGCCGCGUGGGGGAUGACGGCCUUCGGGUUGUAAACUCCUUUCGCUAGGGACGAAGCUUUUUGUGACGGUACCUAGAUAAGAAGCACCGGCUAACUACGUG
rnacentral:rRNA from 1 species